AACACUGUUAACCUGCGGUACCUGCGGAGGGAUCAUUAUAAAAUUUUUACAUUUUAUUGUAAAAAAAAAUGUAUUCAAAACCCAUACUCUUAAAAUCAAAAAAAAAUUUUUUAUAUAAAAAUUUUUUUAAAUUAAAAAAUAAUAAAAAAAAGACAACUUUCAGCAACGGAUCU
rnacentral:misc_RNA from 1 species